AGACACUUUGGCGCAGAGGUAAGCGUGGUUGGCUCAUAACCCAAAGGUCGUUGGAUCGAGGACCAAACAAGUGCUA
rnacentral:tRNA from 1 species